AGAGUUUGAUCAUGGCUCAGAACGAACGUUGGCGGCGUGGAUUAGGCAUGCAAGUCGAACGAAUCCCAGUGGGGGUAACUCUGCUGGGGGAAGUGGCGAAAGGGGCAGUAAAGCGUGGACAACCUGCCCUCGGGACGGGGAUAGCCCUCCUAACGGAGGGGUAAUACCCGGAGACGUGGCGAGGGGGCAUCCUCUUGCCACCAAAGGAGUUUCGCCCGAGGAGGGGUUCACGUGCUAUUAGCUAGAUGGCGGGGUAACGGCCCACCAUGGCAAAGAUGGCUAGCAGGUGUGAGAGCACGACCUGCGCCACUGGCACUGGGACACUGGCCAGACUCCUACGGGAGGCUGCAGUCGAGGAUCUUUGGCAAUGGGCGCAAGCCUGACCAAGCGACGCCGCGUGUGCGAUGAAGGCCUUCGGGUUGUAAAGCACUGUCGAGGGGGAUAAAACCGCAAGGUUGAUAGAUCCCUGAGA
rnacentral:rRNA from 1 species